UAUAAAAUAUAUAUAUAUAUAUAUAUACAUUCAUUAUAUACAUUAUAUACAUUAUACUUGAACACCCCAAUUGGCUAUAUAAUUAGAGUCAGUA